UAGGGAAUAUUGGACAAUGGGCGCAAGCCUGAUCCAGCAAUGCCGCGUGAGUGAUGAAGGCCUUAGGGUUGUAAAGCUCUUUUACCCGGGAUGAUAAUGACAGUACCGGGAGAAUAAGCUCCGGCUAACUCCGUGCCAGCAGCCGCGGUAAUACGGAGGGAGCUAGCGUUGUUCGGAAUUACUGGGCGUAAAGCGCACGUAGGCGGCGAUUUAAGUCAGAGGUGAAAGCCCGGGGCUCAACCCCGGAACUGCCUUUGAGACUGGAUUGCUAGAAUCUUGGAGAGGCGGGUGGAAUUCCGAGUGUAGAGGUGAAAUUCGUAGAUAUUCGGAAGAACACCAGUGGCGAAGGCGGCCCGCUGGACAAGUAUUGACGCUGAGGUGCGAAAGCGUGGGGAGCAAACA
rnacentral:rRNA from 1 species